ensembl:snoRNA
AUCUUUUCCUGCCUCAAAACCAUCAUGACUGGGUUUUCACAUAUAUGUGUGAGAUGUGCCUCCCUCAGACCUUGUUAUGAUGUUAGAUCAUUACCUGUCUGAUU